rnacentral:lncRNA from 1 species
AUAAUUUUGAAAGCAAAGUCGAUGUUGCUGGAGCUAUUUCUGAAGGUUUUAGAACUACAGCAUUGCCAGCUGCUAUAGCUCCAAUCACUGGGUCAAUAGAUAGCACUGGAAAGUAGAAAGAUCAUAUCCUAUUCUUGUCAGAAGGAGUUCGAUUCCAAUACCAGAAGUUAAGACAAUGUGAGUUCAGAUAAAAUAAUUCAAGAAACAGAUUGGUAUUUCAUGGCAGUAGAAAAGAAAACCAUACAUUGGCUUUUUGCAGUGACUAACGUAUGCUUUAAGGGUUGUUACUUUUCCGGAGAUACAAACAAUGGAAAUGUAACAAACUAUGUAUUUUGGAAAAUGCAAACAACUAUUAUAGAAGUUGUAGUACCUUAUUGUAAUACUCUGCAAUUCAAUCUUUUCCUAUAUUAUAGAAGUUGCUUUGGGGAAACUAGUGGGUGCAAAGAUCUGUAAGCAGAAAAUGAGUGUGACUAGAAGGCUUAGUGUUCCAAUAGUCCAAUGAAAAGGUGAGAGAUUACAAAUGGAAUGUAUGCACUCUGAAGUCUGAACCAUUUGCUGAUUAUUGGGAUCAACUUGAUAAACAGAAAGACUCAGGUUGUGCAUGUGAUUGUAACUGAGCUUGUUAUGUAUUCUCACAGUUGGAAAGAUUGUUAGAAAGUUAGUAAGUUGUUAAAAGGUUUGUUGCAUUAGUUAAAUGGUUACUAUAUCUACCAUAUAAAUAUAGUGCAGCUGUAACUUACACUGAUGAAUAAAUAUAAAAGUUCAUUUUCUGGACCAGUUUCUUAGAUCUCAAAUCUUUCAUAACUGCAUAUCAUGGCAGCUGCAUCGGGAAAUUGACAAGUUCAAAGAUCUAUAAGCAGAAGCCAGAUCAUUACAGGCUUUAAGAAUAUCUGAUGCUCUAAAUUACCAACUAAAAGGUGACAGCCUAGCAAAAUGGGUUCUAUGCACUCCCAAGAUGUUUUCAGAAAAAAGAUUGUCUUGUAAUUAGGCAUCAUUGGGAUAGUCUAACAGCUAAAAAGAAAAAUCAAUUUAGAAAUACAAGGCACACAAACAUCAGCAUUGACCAUGGUAGAGGAUGCAUAAUACUAAAAAAAAAUGCAUUAAGAGUAUUUUUCUCAGAGCUAUAUGAACUAUUCAAAUAUAGCUUGCAACAUGCUAGAUAUGAUUGGUUUUCCUAGAUAUGAAGUUGUGUGAUACCAGGGUUGCCUUACAUACACAAAGGAUAAUUCCAUGUUGAGAUGACCAACACGACACCAAGAGGUUCUGACACAAUUUCUGCUGAUGAUGGAUAUGUUGUCAUUGAAGUUUUGGCCU